GCUGGUGUAGUGGUAUCAUGC
rnacentral:miRNA from 1 species